AUCAAAACAACUUUUUUUUUUUCAUUUGAGUGAUAUUUGUUUCCUCGUUACACGGUCAGAUUUCAGAUCACCUCCGAUUAACGCAAUGUAACAUUGUCGAAACGCUCUCGGUUGUGAGUCGUGAACAUGCGUGCAGCGAGCUCAGCUACUGACCAUUCAUUCUUCCGCGUCCCCUGACGUUCCAGUGAGGCUCUCGCCAGCCGGCGUGACUUUUCUGUAUGCCACCGCGGUGAAAAACGUCGCUGACACCAGCCCGCGCCAGCCGGGCUUCCUGCUCACUCACUUUACUGUUAUUGUCAUCUGAUUAGUGGAAAGCGGCUUUGAGUGUCUUGAGAAGCGCUAUAGAAGUUUAAUGUAUUGUUAUUAUUAAUAUUAUGAAAUAAAAAGCUUGAAUGAUCGUA